UCCGGCUUAUCACCGGCGGUUUCUUUAGAGUGCCCAACUAAAUGAUGGCAACUAAAGACGAGGGUUGCGCUCGUUGCGGGACUUAACCCAACAUCUCACGACACGAGCUGACGACAACCAUGCAGCACCUGUGUUCCCCCCGGCCGAACCGACGACCCCGAUCUCUCAGGGUCUAAAGGGACAUGUCAAGGGCUGGUAAGGUUCUGCGCGUUGCAUCGAAUUGAACCACAUGCUCCACCGCUUGUGCGGGCCCCCGUCAAUUCCUUUGAGUUUUAGCCUUGCGGCCGUACUCCCCAGGCGGGGCACUUAAUGCGUUAGCUCCGGCACGGGAGGAGUCGACACCUCCCACACCUAGUGCCCAUCGUUUACGGCGUGGACUAC
rnacentral:misc_RNA from 1 species